rnacentral:ncRNA from 1 species
GUGCUGACGAACUGCGGUGGCGAGAACAGGUAGAUCGUAAAGACGCCGUGAAUCCAUCCUUGGAGGCUCGAGCCGCGCCAUCCUUGGCGCGGACGCUUU